UACGGAGGGGGCUAGCGUUGUCCGGAAUUACUGGGCGUAAAGCGUGCGUAGGUGGUUUGUUAAGUCUGAUGUGAAAGCCCUGGGCUCAACCUGGGAAUUGCAUUGGAUACUGGCAGGCUAGAGUGCGGUAGAGGGUAGUGGAAUUCCCGGUGUAGCAGUGAAAUGCGUAGAGAUCGGGAGGAACAUCCGUGGCGAAGGCGACUAUCUGGACCAGCACUGACACUGAGGCACGAAAGCGUGGGGAGCAAACAGG
rnacentral:rRNA from 1 species